GCAAACUGAGGUUAAGUUACAUCUGAAGGUGAAGUGACACUGGACUGAGGCAGCUUCCAUCCCAAGACAGCUACAGACACACAAUUCAGAGAAACUUUGUGCAAAAGAGAUUAAAGAUGCUCCUGAUCAUCCUGAUUCAACUCCUGAUCGUCGCAUCAGCAAAUGCCCAGGCAACCACCACUGUAGCACCUACAACUGCUGCACCCACCACUGUAGCAGCUACAACUGCAGCACCCACCACUGUAGCAGCUACAACUGCAGCACCCACCACGCCGGCUACUGGUGCCCCCACCACCACCACGGCUGCUGGUGCCACUAACACUGCUGCACAUGCUGGGAUCGUAUCCGUGAGCAGUCUGGUGUUCUGUCACUUCAGUGUUGUUCUCUUCAUGUCCCUCUGUACAGUGUGACUUGGUUGUACUGUUUUUUUUUUAAACACAUUUAUCAGUACCCACAAAGCAUUAUUAUUUAUAUUUAGACACACACUGGUGUUGAUAAGAUUAACAAUCCAUAUGAUACAAAGUGUUAAAAAUAAGUUAGUGCCUAUUUAUUGUAACUCUCAGAGUAAAGUUACUGAUAACUUAUAAAUUCAUGACUGAUGAAUGACUGUUGAAAUGAUGUUAACCCAGCUAGACUGGUAUCAGUGUUUUCUAUUGUAGGAGCAGUGCUUCAUUAAACUUUUCAACUAUUGUGGUUGAUAGAACUGUUUUCUUUAAAGUGUAUUAUAACUUAUGUGAAGUGACAAAUCUACUUUGAAGCCAGAAUGUGGACGGAUUAUUUAUUUGGGUCAUUGAUUUUUUAUUUCACAGCAGAUAUAUAAAAUGACACAACAACAAA